GCCCGGGUAGCUCAGUGGUAGAGCGCAUCCAUGGUAAGGAUGAGGUCUCGAGUUCAAUCCUCGAUCCGGGCUCCA
rnacentral:tRNA from 1 species